rnacentral:rRNA from 1 species
CCUACGGGGCGCUGCAGUGGGGAAUAUUGGACAAUGGGCGAAAGCCUGAUCCAGCCAUGCCGCGUGUGUGAAGAAGGCCUUCGGGUUGUAAAGCACUUUCAGUGGGGAAGAAAGCCUUGGGGCUAAUACCCUCGAGGAAGGACAUCACCCACAGAAGAAGCACCGGCUAACUCCGUGCCAGCAGCCGCGGUAAUACGGAGGGUGCGAGCGUUAAUCGGAAUUACUGGGCGUAAAGCGCGCGUAGGCGGUCUGAUAAGCCGGUUGUGAAAGCCCCGGGCUCAACCUGGGAACGGCAUCCGGAACUGUCAGGCUAGAGUGCAGGAGAGGAAGGUAGAAUUCCCGGGGUAGCGGUGAAAUGCGUAGAGAUCGGGAGGAAUACCAGUGGCGAAGGCGGCCUUCUGGACUGACACUGACGCUGAGGUGCGAAAGCGUGGGUAGCAAACAGGAUUAGAUACCCCUGUAGU